GGAGAAACCGGUUCUACGGAACCCGAGCUUUAUUGUGACAUAAUUGACAUAUAACAUUGUGUGAGGUGUGAACACUGUGAUGAUUUGAUGCAUGUCUAUACUGCGGAAUGAUUACCAACACUAAGCAAAUCAUCCUGGGAAACUGUUGCUUGGUCUUCUGAUCCCACCUGAAAGAGAUUUCUUGUAGAGAGGCACAGUACCCCAAUUUUACCUAUAAAUGAUGACAUGUAACUUCUCACAUAAAC